UAUAGAAGUUGUAUGAAACGUUGCUUUCUGUUAGUCGAUCGCGAACUGUGUAAUAGUAACAGUGCCAACGAAAAGUGUAAAAUGUGAUCUUCUAAAUAUUUUCUGUAUUUAUAAAUCAACGUGGCUAAAUAUUCUUUCACAGUCAGUGUAUUAUAUAUCUUUAUGCAAAUUAUAAUUGUUACAAAUCAUAGUUAUUACAGAUUAUAGUUAUUUUCUUCAUAUUCCCUACGAUGUAACUACUGUCAAAACGCGACAGAAAUGUCUGCUAAUGUGCAUAGCGGUCAAGAUUACGAUUCACUACACCGAAUUCUGAACAACUGGCUGCAUACGUGUAUCAAGGUGCACCAGAGUUUUUCGAGGUUGUCCCAUCGACCGUUGUUCUUAUCGCUAUUUUCGCGGUAUCGGAAAAUGGUAAUUGCGACACGAUGGAAGGAUGAUCUAGUUUUGACCAGCAAAACAAACGAGUCUGCCGUUUGACAACACAAACGUAACAGUUGUGACUAUCUUCCCGUGACAUGGACCAUUUGUCAAUCGAUCAAUGGGCACACCGUUGGCAAGGCAAAAUGCACUGGGGAUAAUGGACAGUGUAUGCGACUACGCACCGAACGUUUCACGAAGUGACAUGGCAGGAUUAUUAUCCAAGACUUUAACAUGAUGACCAACACGGUGGUCAUCGAUAGCUGGACUAUACUAAAUUGUUUGAAAACAGUGGCAACAAGUAGAUUGCCGUCGAAUUUAGUAACGUAAGUAACUAGAAAAUAGCGUGACUUUGACACUGCGAUACCAAGCCAAUAAUAAUCGAGUCGCUCAGAAGCCAAUGCGGUUAAAUUCAGAAAACAGAAAUUAAAAAUAUUAAUGUUUUUUAAAAUAUAAUUAUGAUAUCCUUUAAUACCUAAUAACUCCCAGUAAAUUCUUUAAUACCUGGAAAGAAUAUUACUUAUUCCAUUAAAAUUUACAAAAAUCCGGAAAUAUCAAAAACUCGACUUAACCGUAUUGGCUUCUGAGCGCCUCCGUUGUUUCUAGUACCAUUUGUCAUGGUUACGAGAGAAUGUGUGUUAAUAUACGAAAACGCUAAAAAUUCUCAUGUACAUAAUGAAAGCGUUAAACGUUUUCAAUGAGAUUUCCAUGAUUCACGAGUCACAUGUCACGAAGGGUGAAUAAAAUAACGCGCAAAUGUGACUCGAAGUUUUCUUCUCGCUGAUACCAACUCUGGGAGCCGCCCCGACGACAGGGCAAACUCGAUCGGUGGAAUCGGCUGCGUGAAAGGCGGGCCAAGAACAAAAGGGGAGAAUAGGAGGAACGGGGUAACACUAGGCGCACGGUAAAUUAUCGCGUUCGGGCUAAAUAGUAACGAGGGAUCUGGCGCUCGCAUUUCUUUCACGUGCGUGCAAGGAGACCUUUGUUUCACGCGGACAAAGGUGGUCGCGUUUACGUGCAAGCGAUGCAUCGCGCAGUGUGAACGCCUGCGGCCCUUCGCCUUGACGAGCAGUCAUUGAAACGGUGCAAAAUGAUCCGGAUGCUGUUGGAAGAUAACGUUCGCGAAAAAAGAGAAAAACCGGGAGAACGGGCCGCUGGAACAACUCUGCAGAAAAAACUCUCCGGUUCGAUCGGAUGUUACCGUAUCGUUGAUCGUAAGCAGACCGCGAAUGGAUCUUUGUGCAGAUUCGAACAUUUAGGAAUGUAAUUAGAAAAAACGGUGUUAUUGUUAACCCUCUACAGGACUGUGUGACUAUGAAGUCACUAAUUAACACUAACACUACCGUAACAGUCAUUCUGAUAACAAACUUCGGUUUGUUUGUUUCGCUAUUAUUGAUAUCUUCGAAGCAUUGGAUAUUUGAAUGCUUUUUGAAAAUAAAUAGUUCCACUUAAAUACUAGAAUGAAUGGCUGAAGAUACUAGAAAUGAUCUAUUGUUAUAAUUAUUAUAGGGAUUACGUGCCAAUCGUAUGAAAUGCUCGGUAGUUCUAGUGUUAAUUAACUUAAAGUUUUAUACGCUCAGCCGUGACAGUUCCAUAUUAUUGUAAUUUCAAAAUUACAAGGUAUAUUUGUUUUAAUAUAAUAUUCAUAUGUAUUCCUCACUUUAAAUACACAAAUUUAUGCGGUAAAUUGUACUGUGAAUUUAUGCAAAAGAAUUUCCACGAAUGAUUUAAAUGCUGGUUAUCAAAGUUUUGUCGCAGUGAAAUUCUACGUGGAAUGUUUUAUUAUGCAGAAUGAAAGGCCGCUCGUGACAAUUCGAUUAUCGAUUCAGACAGUAGAGGGCAGUGAGACUUCUUAUAUGUGGCAAGCCAAACGGGAAACCACUUUCGUACUAACCAAAAGAAGCUGAACGAGUACGGUAAAUCACUGUCCGCGGCACGCAUUCCAAACGCCCAACUUUUUAGUCCUGUACAGGUCCACAAGGUCUUUAAAAAUCUUCUUUAAGGAAUUUUUUCUUUCAUUCGCGGAAAGUUCGAUCUGCUGCAAGUAAUUUAUAAUGUACUGUGUUUAAACAUCUUUAAAAUUAAAUAAUAUAUAGUAUAUAAUUAUAUUAUAAUAGUAUAACAAAAUGAUGGAUACACGAUA